GUGAUAACCACUGGUUUCUUCUCUGCAUCUGGAAUUCUGAAUUUUUAAAAAGCCCCUAGGUUUUUGGUGGAUGAGGAUGAUGCCCCUUGCUGUCUGUGGGAGGCAAAAACCUAGAAGACUUAGUUCACCAAGAACUAAGGUUCCUCGCUUCAGUAUGCUAAAAUGUCUUAAGGACUCUAUUAAUAUUUAUUGGGUAAUUAGGCAGUGCUCUAGGAACCUGACAUAUAUUAAUUCAUUUAAUUCUCCCAGUAACUCAUUAUUAUCAUCGUCACUUCACAGAUAAGGAAACUGAGUCACAGAGAAAUAAAGUAACUUUUCAAGGUCACAGGGCUGGUAAAGGAACUGAGAUUUGAACCCCGACAGCUGAGCUCCAAAGCUUUGCUGGAAAACCAGUGCUCAGACUCCCAGUAAGAAGAAGGAACAUAAUUUCGGAAAGGAAUUAGAAAGAAGAGGGGUGAGACCAGGAACUUAGAUGCCCUAUUAGAGCACACGCGGAACCCCCGUAAGUGCAAUGUUUCCACAUGGUCACCACUAUAUAUUAGUCAAUUACACUGUACAGCCAGGAAUAAAAAGCAAACAUGGUGUAUUUUAAAUUUGCCAACAGGGCUCCUCUACACACCUUAGCAAAUGUUCUCAGAACACUGUUACAAACAGCCUACAUGCUGUAGAACCACCGCGAAACUUCCAACAAUGGGCUGGAAGGGCCCACUAGGAUGCGGCUCAGGGCCAAGGCACCGAGUAGGAUGCUGAAAUUAACUCCCUACUGUCUCUUUUGACUUUUUGGCGCAUUCUGGCCGAAGACAUGAAAAGAGCGCAGUGAAGCCCACAGUCACACCUUGCGCCGCUCCCAAUGCCUGCUAGAAAAGCGGCGUCUUGGCGGCGGAAAAGAAAACGUGAAAAGCAACGACCUCGUGGUGUAGGCGACGUGCUUAAUUUCCCCGCCCGGGAGCCUGGGCCGGGCCGGAAGUGCCCGAGGUGCUAAACCCGGAGGAACGGUGGAGUCCAGGCCGCGAGGGGAGUUACGGGAGUGCCGUCCGAGGUGCCAACGCUGGCCACGGGCACACUAUGCCACCCGCGGGGCGGCUGGGCGGCUUUGUCUACCGCCUGGCAACGGGAGGGCGCCUGUCUGGGUAAACACGCCCCUAAGAGAGGCACGCUGUAAAGCAGCACAAGGUACAUCCCUCCCAAGAAAUCUCUCCACAAGCAUCCAAGUCCCAUGUCUCCAAGCCUACACCCGUAUAUAAUCCACCCCCUCCUUCGGCUUGCUCCCUACUCAUUACCUCACCAUCCAGCAGCCCCUGAUUCCUAAAGACCUUGCCAGAUGCCCAUAUUCUUAGUGAAGAACGAGGCUGUGAGAUGCCUCAUCAGCAGCCUGCAUUGAGUGCACUUAACUAAACCUGCCAAGGAGCUCCUUCUCUGCCCGUUCACCCUAACACUGCCACCACCAGUUCUUUGUGGAGAGCAGUUCCUAUGGAGCUAGAGAGAGACGAGAGACGGAUUGCUUGCACACCUCUGGCCUCAGCUGAUGCAGCCCUCCGCUGAUGAAUUCAGACCCGGCAGGUCUGCCUGGAUCCUGGGAAUGGGGAAGGCACUCAGCUGGUCAAGCUUGAAGAGGCAGGAGAACCCAACCCGGACUAAGGAAAGGAUGGGCCCUGAUAAGCUGCUCUGCUGUGACCGAGAAGAGCACCCGAACUCUGAGCUGUUGGGUUGUGUCAUUGGAGACUGCCUCCUGGGACACACUCACUCACUCCUCUUCCAGCAGAACUUAAACUCAAUCCCCAGCAGUUAGCUGGGUCCCAGGCCAAAUGCUUGUGUUAUUUAUCCAUUUGUCAAUGUAUCUACAGCAUUUGGGCUCCGAGCUCUUGAAGCUUCUGAGCUGAUAAAUCCUCUCACAGAGCUUCCACUUUCCUCCAGGCAGACAGUGUACAUGUCUUCCCAGCUGGUGGGGAUGGAGGCAAAGGGGAUGGCUUCAAGGGACGUAAGGGGGGGCUGAGUAUGAAAGAAAAUCCUGAGAUUAGUGGCAACCCAUUCUAUGCAGCUUGUGAAGGGACCAGGGGGCCGAGAAUCCAAUCAAGCCCAGCC